rnacentral:rRNA from 1 species
UACGUAGGGAGCAAGCGUUGUUCGGAUUUACUGGGCGUAAAGGGCGCGUAGGCGGCAGAUCAAGUCAGCUGUGAAAUCUCCGAGCUUAACUCGGAACUGUCAGCUGAUACUGUUUUGCUAGAGUGCGGAAGGGGCAAUCGGAAUUCUUGGUGUAGCGGUGAAAUGCGUAGAUAUCAAGAGGAACACCUGAGGUGAAGACGGGUUGCUGGGCCGACACUGACGCUGAGUGCGCGAAAGCGUGGGGAGCAAACAGG